rnacentral:rRNA from 1 species
UACGAAGGGGGCUAGCGUUGCUCGGAAUCACUGGGCGUAAAGCGCACGUAGGCCGAUUGUUAAGUCAGGGGUGAAAUCCUGGAGCUCAACUCCAGAACUGCCCUUGAUACUGACGGUCUCGAGUCCGGGAGAGGUGAGUGGAACUGCGAGUGUAGAGGUGAAAUUCGUAGAUAUUCGCAAGAACACCAGUGGCGAAGGCGGCUCACUGGCCCGGUACUGACGCUGAGGUGCGAAAAGCGUGGGGAGCAAACAGG